UGGUGAUAGUGGCGUAUUGCAACAACGAGCAAGCAGGGAAUAUUUCGCUUCUGGUUGACUAAGAAGAAAACUUGCUGUACGGACAGACGUCUAUACACAAAGACAGACCAAAGGUUCCUGUAUACGGAUGACGUCACCGUUGAUUCCAAUACUGCGACGGGGUUAUUGUAUCUUUCCAAGAAAUAUGACGUACCUGAUUUAGAAGAGAUAUGUCUGCUGUAUCUGGAGUCGUCGAUUUCGCCAGAAACUGCAUGCGUCCUCAUGGAACAGGCGCAUCUCCACGACCAACCAGAUUUGAAGUUAAAGGCCAAGAAAUAUAUCUGUGAAAAUGGCGACUCUGUUCUGAAAUCGCCUGGCUUCACUGAUCUGUGUCACUCGUGUAUUCUCGAGAUCACGACAAGGAAGGGAGAUAACCCCAGAUAACAAGAGGAGCGCACUUGGGAAGGCUUUGAUGAACGUGAGGUAUUCUCUUCUUGAUAAGAAGUAUUUUGUGGAGAGAGUCUCACCAAAUAAGUUGCUGACAGAAAGUGAAGAAAUCACAAUCUUCAAAAACUUCAUCUCUCCCGAUAAAUCUGUUUUUCCUUUUAGAAAGGAAGCCGUAGUCAGUACUGGGAAUGUCACUCCUGACAAGGUAAUCGAAAAGGUAAUCGCUGUUGAUUGUUUUCAAUCAAUUGUCCGUGGUGUAUGGCUUCCACAAAGUACAGAGUGGCAAUACCACACACUGUGGUUUAGUGUCAAUCAAAACUGUGUUCUGCAAGAGUUUGAGCUUGUUGCAAGUCAUCGUGCAAUGAUAGCUUAUGUGUACGACGUACAUACUGGAUACAGCGUUUCGAGUUAUGAUAUCGUGUACGACAAUCAGAAAAUGGACUAUGUUAUUGAAUCGUCCAGUACUAACCCUCUUAUUAAAAACAGGAAAUACAUUUUGGUUGUUAGACAUACAAGUCAACAUGUAGCAUUCUCGGUGAAGGUGAAAGACAAAGUACAGCACGGUACAUUUAUCUGUUCUUUUGAACACAAUCAUCCAGAUGAUUACCAAGUAGUGUCCAAGUUAUUCUUCCGGGUGUGAUGACUGGGGGUCACGAGUUGGGAUCCUACAUACUCAGCUAUAUACUUGUGUAUAUAAUGUAUAUUUAUGCAUGUUCACAUCUUUUAUGUUGCUCAUACGAUGUGUGUUUUGUUUAAAUACAGACGCGUGUCUAGGAAUGUGAGUAGGAGGGGGUCGUGGCCACAGGCUCCCAUUGGUGUAGGGGGAAUGCUGAUUUUUGCCCACAUUAAACAAACAAGAAAUUGCCUAAUCUGGAUAACAACAUUUAUCCGUAGUAGCAAAAUAGCUAUAUACGGGUGAAAACGAAUUACUACGCUUUUUUACAUGAAUUAUUUGGUGGGUAGAUUGAUGGAAAUGCAUUGUGAAAAAGAUUCACGCCAGCAUAUUUUUUUCGAAUAUUUCUAUUGUUUUGUUGGGGGGUUUUUUUGGGUUUUUUUUUUUGGGGGGGGAGGAGGGGUUUCACUCAAGCACUGCAUUCCCCCACCCCAACCCCGUUUUGUGUGCUUAUGGUCUUGACUGUGGUUACUUAACUUUACGGGGGGCGGGGGGGGGGGGGGGGGGUCAUGCUCACCUGUACAAAUUAUUGAGGAAAAAUAAUAUUUGCUACAGUAGGAAGAGGUUUAGACCCCCGAAACCCUCCUCUGCGGACGCGCCUGAAAUGUGUAUUUGUAACAUAUUAUUGCAAUGUAUCGAUAACCAGGCAGUAUACUUUAUAUGUUAGUAAGUGGUUCUUCACAGAUUAGAUAUAUUAUAUUCAUUGUUA